rnacentral:rRNA from 1 species
GACGAACGCUGGCGGCGUGCUUAACACAUGCAAGUCGAACGGUAAGGCCCCUUCGGGGGUACACGAGUGGCGAACGGGUGAGUAACACGUGAGCAACCUGCCCUUGACUCUGGAAUAACAGUUGGAAACAGCUGCUAAUACUGGAUAUUCAUCGUCUCCUUCCUGGGGGGUGGUGGAAAGCACCGGCGGUCAGGGAUGGGCUCGCGGCCUAUCAGCUUGUUGGUGAGGUAAUGGCUCACCAAGGCUUCGACGGGUAGCCGGCCUGAGAGGGCGACCGGCCACACUGGGACUGAGAUACGGCCCAGACUCCUACGGGAGGCAGCAGUGGGGAAUAUUGCACAAUGGGCGCAAGCCUGAUGCAGCAACGCCGCGUGCGGGAUGACGGCCUUCGGGUUGUAAACCGCUUUCAGUAGGGACGAAGGGUGACUGACGGUACCUACAGAAGAAGGACCGGCUAACUACGUG